GGGAGCUGUUGGGGUGGGGGGCGUGGGAAGAUGUCAUCUUUACUUUUCCUGCGAAGGAGAUUGGCAUCUUCCCGACUCCCCCCAUACCACUGGCUUCCAA
rnacentral:pre_miRNA from 1 species